rnacentral:rRNA from 1 species
GACGAACCUUUGCGGCGUGCUUAACACAUGCAAGUCGAACGGAAAGGCCCUGCUUUUGUGGGGUGCUCGAGUGGCGAACGGGUGAGUAACACGUGAGUAACCUGCCCUUGACUUCGGGAUAACUUCAGGAAACUGGGGCUAAUACCGGAUAGGAGCUCCUGCUGCAUGGUGGGGGUUGGAAAGUUUCGGCGGUUGGGGAUGGACUCGCGGCUUAUCAGCUUGUUGGUGGGGUAGUGGCUUACCAAGGCUUUGACGGGUAGCCGGCCUGAGAGGGUGACCGGCCACAUUGGGACUGAGAUACGGCCCAGACUCCUACGGGAGGCAGCAGUGGGGAAUAUUGCACAAUGGGCGGAAGCCUGAUGCAGCAACGCCGCGUGCGGGAUGACGGCCUUCGGGUUGUAAACCGCUUUCGCCUGUGACGAAGCGUGAGUGACGGUAAUGGGUAAAGAAGCACCGGCUAACUACGUGCCAGCAGCCGCGGUGAUACGUAGGGUGCGAGCGUUGUCCGGAUUUAUUGGGCGUAAAGGGCUCGUAGGUGGUUGAUCGCGUCGGAAGUGUAAUCUUGGGGCUUAACCCUGAGCGUGCUUUCGAUACGGGUUGACUUGAGGAAGGUAGGGGAGAAUGGAAUUCCUGGUGGAGCGGUGGAAUGCGCAGAUAUCAGGAGGAACACCAGUGGCGAAGGCGGUUCUCUGGGCCUUUCCUGACGCUGAGGAGCGAAAGCGUGGGGAGCGAACAGGCUUAGAUACCCUGGUAGUCCACGCUGUAAACGGUGGGUACUAGGUGUGGGGUCCAUUCCACGGGUUCCGUGCCGUAGCUAGCGCUUUAAGUACCCCGCCUGGGGAGUACGGCCGCAAGGCUAAAACUCAAAGGAAUUGACGGGGCCCCGCACAAGCGGCGGAGCAUGCGGAUUAAUUCGAUGCAACGCGUAGAACCUUACCUGGGUUUGACAUGGAUCGGGAGUGCUCAGAGAUGGGUGUGCCUCUUUUGGGGUCGGUUCACAGGUGGUGCAUGGCUGUCGUCAGCUCGUGUCGUGAGAUGUUGGGUUAAGUCCCGCAACGAGCGCAACCCUUGUUCACUGUUGCCAGCACGUUAUGGUGGGGACUCAGUGGAGACCGCCGGGGUCAACUCGGAGGAAGGUGGGGAUGACGUCAAGUCAUCAUGCCCCUUAUGUCCAGGGCUUCACGCAUGCUACAAUGGCUGGUACAGAGAGUGGCGAGCCUGUGAGGGUGAGCGAAUCUCGGAAAGCCGGUCUCAGUUCGGAUUGGGGUCUGCAACUCGACCUCAUGAAGUCGGAGUCGCUAGUAAUCGCAGAUCAGCAACGCUGCGGUGAAUACGUUCCCGGGGCU